rnacentral:ncRNA from 1 species
GAAAAAGCAGUGAUUGGAAAGAGUACUGUCCCGAAAUUCCACAGAAAGGUGCCGGGUGAUGAGAGGACCGGAAGGAACGGACAGGAAUACAUCCAGGAGCAGCACACCGAACGCAUGGACAAGUAGGCUGUGACGGGUGCGACCGUUAUAUCGCAGGAGUAUACAAUAUGUACUUUCAGAGGCAGUAUGUGUGAGCAUGCUGUGAAAAAAGGUGGUAACGCGGAAUCUUUCGCCCUUUUG